AGCCUUUAGCAAUAAAAGUAUUAAAGGUGAUGCCUGCCCAGUGAAAUUUUAAACGGCCGCGGGACCAUAUACCGUGCAAAGGUAGCAUAAUCACUUGUCCCCUAAAUAGUGACUAGUAUGAAUGGCCACAUGAAGAUAUCCCUGUCUCUUAUAGUCGAUCUAUGAAACUGAUCUCUUAGUCCAAAAGCUAAGAUAAGCCCACAAGACGAAAAGACCCUGUGGAACUUAAGAUAUAAGCUAUUUUAUGGCUAACCAUUUUUAGUUGGGGCAACUUUGGAAAUAAAUAAAACUUCCAAUUAACAACAAGGUGUACACACCUAGUUUUUAUAAACGACCCAGUAUAACUGAUAAAAGAACCAAGCUACCCCAGGGAUAACAGCGCUAUCCUCUCCUAGAGCCCAAAUCGACGAGGGGGUUUACGACCUCGAUGUUGGAUCAGGGCCCCCAAACAGUGCAGCAGCUGUUAAUGGUUUGUUUGUUCAACAAUUAAUGCCCU
rnacentral:rRNA from 1 species